CUACGGGUGGCUGCAGUGAGGAAUAUUGCGCAAUGGGGGAAACCCUGACGCAGCGACGCCGCGUGGAUGAUGAAGGCCUUCGGGUCGUAAAAUCCUGUCAGAAGGAAAGAAGUAUAUGGUAGCUAAUAUCUGCCAUAUUUGACGGUACCUUCAAAGGAAGCACCGGCUAACUCCGUGCCAGCAGCCGCGGUAAUACGGAGGGUGCAAGCGUUGUUCGGAAUUACUGGGCGUAAAGCGCGCGUAGGCGGCUGUUUAAGUCAGAUGUGAAAGCCCAUGGCUUAACCAUGGACGUGCAUUUGAGACUGGGCAGCUUGAGUACUGGAGGGGGUGGUGGAAUUCCCGGUGUAGAGGUGAAAUUCGUAGAUAUCGGGAGGAAUACCGGUGGCGAAGGCGACCACCUGGCCAGAUACUGACGCUGAGGUGCGAAAGCGUGGGGAGCAAACAGGAUUAGAUACCCGGGUAGUC
rnacentral:rRNA from 1 species